ACCAUAUGUGGGUCGAUGGGCUGCACAUAUCCGCUCAUCAAUCACUGCAUCGUGGUACUUUGAUGACACGUACGUACUUUACUUUUUAUUACAGUACUUUACUUUUCUUUUAGUUAAGGAUUACAGUACUUUUUUUUGGUAGAUAAAGGAUUACAGUACUUUACUUUUUUUUUUGGUACAGAUUACAGUACCUUACUUUGAAGAGAUGUCUUAACUGCUGUUGCCUGUUGGUGACACGUUUGAUGUUUUGACCUAAGAAGGCUAACAGUUAACAUCCGUAUUGGACCAUUUCAGAAAAGUUAUAUGCUGGUGCUGUAGCUGUUCUUCAACAGGCAAUCCUUCUUAAGAAGACAUUAACCCUAUAUGCUGGUUCUUAUAAAAUAUACCUACCAAACUCAAGAUCGAUCCUGACAUUUUUUAGACCUA
rnacentral:lncRNA from 1 species